AUGGGCUAUAUUUUGCAGAAGGAGGAUUAUAACUCGGAGAGGUAGGGCUAUAACUAGGAGAAGUUGGACUAUAACUCGGGGAAGUAGGGCUGUAACCCGGUGAAGUUGGGCUGUAGGCAGGUGAAGUUGGGCUGUAGGAUGGGGAUGUGGGGCUGUAGGAGGGGGAUGUGGGGCUGUAUGAAGGAGAUGUUGGGCUGUAGGAGGGGGAAGUGGGGCUGUAUGAAGGAGAUGUUGGGCUGUAUGAUGGUGAAGUUGGACUGUAUGCAGGGGAAGUGGGGCUGUACGCAGGGGAAGUGGGACUGUAAGCGGGGGAAGUCGGGCUGUAGCUUGGAGAGGUCGGGCUGUAGCUUGGAGAAGUCGGGCUGUAGCUUGGAGAGGUCGGACUGUAGCUUGGAGAGGUAGGUGAGUAAGAGGGGCUCGUAGGAGAAUAUGCUGGACUGGUUGGACUAUAACCUGGAGAGCUUGGACUAUAGGUUGGAGAA
rnacentral:lncRNA from 1 species